CGUAACAAGGUUUCCGUAGGUGAACCUGCGGAAGGAUCAUUAAAGAAUGCCCCGUUUUUUGAAAUGGGUUCUAUUCCCAAACCGUGUAUACAUACCUUUGUUGCUUUGGCAGGCCGCCUUCGGGCGUCGGCUCACGCUGACCGCGCCUGCCAGAGGACCCAAACUCGUUUGUUUAGUGAUGUCUGAGUACUAUAUAAUAGUUAAAACUUUCAACAACGGAUCUCUUGGUUCUGGCAUCGAUGAAGAACGCAGCGAAAUGCGAUAAGUAAUGUGAAUUGCAGAAUUCAGUGAAUCAUCGAAUCUUUGAACGCACAUUGCGCCCCUUGGUAUUCCGAGGGGCAUGCCUGUUCGAGCGUCAUUAUGACCACUCAAGCCUAGCUUGGUAUUGGGGUUCGCGGUCUCGCGGCCCUUAAAAUCAGUGGCGGUGCCAUCUGGCUCUAAGCGUAGUAAUUUAUCUCGCUAUUGGGUCCGGUGGUUGCUUGCCAACAACCUCCAACUUCUAAGGUUGACCUCGGAUCAGGUAGGGAUACCCGCUGAACUUAAGCAUAUCAAUAAGCGGAGGAA
rnacentral:sRNA from 1 species